GACGAACGCUGGCGGCGUGCUUAACACAUGCAAGUCGAACGGUAAGGCCCUUCGGGGUACACGAGUGGCGAACGGGUGAGUAACACGUGGGUGAUCUGCCCUGCACUUCGGGAUAAGCCUGGGAAACUGGGUCUAAUACCGGAUAGGACCACUGCCUGCAUGGGUGGUGGUGGAAAGCUUUUGCGGUGUGGGAUGGGCCCGCGGCCUAUCAGCUUGUUGGUGGGGUGAUGGCCUACCAAGGCGACGACGGGUAGCCGUCCUGAGAGGGUGACCUGCAACGCUGGGACUGGGAUACGUGCCAGACUCCUGCGGGAGGCAGCAGUGGGGAAUAUUGCACAAUGGGCGCAAGCUGGAUGCAGCGACGCCGCGUGAGGGAUGACGGCCUUCGGGUUGUAAACCUCUUUCAGCACGGACGAAGCGCAAGUGACGGUAGGUGCAGAAGAAGGACCGGCCAACUACGUGCCAGCAGCCGCAGUAA
rnacentral:rRNA from 1 species